rnacentral:rRNA from 7 species
AAAACGACUCUCGGCAACGGAUAUCUCGGCUCUCGCAUCGAUGAAGAACGUAGCGAAAUGCGAUACUUGGUGUGAAUUGCAGAAUCCCGUGAACCAUCGAGUCUUUGAACGCAAGUUGCACCCCAAGCCAUUAGGCCGAGGGUACGUCUGCCUGGGUGUCACGC